rnacentral:tRNA from 1 species
GGAGGUGUGCCGGAGCGGCCGAACGGACUUCACUGCUAAUGAAGGAUCCCCUUAACCGGGGAUCGAGGGUUCAAAUCCCUCCACCUCCGCCA